rfam:Rhodnius prolixus Rhodnius_prolixus-3.0.3-17.41, whole genome shotgun sequence.
CACAAGGCUUUUUUAGAAGCCACACUUUGGUACCACAAGUUUUAGU